AUUUGAUGUUGUGGGCAUCUAGUGCACAACUUACUAAACCUCUCCCAAUAGUCAUAUAGGGAUUCUCCUGGAUACUGCUUAAUGCUGCAUUUCUCUUUUCUCAAACU